rnacentral:lncRNA from 1 species
GUUGGGUGUGGUUAUUAUGAGUUUCGUCUCGAGUCCGGUAUCUAGUUAUGAUGACUUGGGAGUUCUAGUACUGAUUUUUGAUAUUCUGGGAGUUGCGGUUCAUUUAAGUUUUGAUUCGAGUCCGACAUCUGAUUAUAUGUUCUGUUUAUAUCAUAUAUGUGGCCUCUCGUUAUUACCCAUUAUCUCCGGUUCGAAUCCGCCAUAUGGCCUCUUGUUAUUAUCCAUCACUACUGGUUUGAGACCGACGUCUAGUGUCUUGUUAAUACCCAUUGGUGCCG